rnacentral:lncRNA from 1 species
AAUUCAAACCCCCCUUUCUUGUGACAAACAUUGUUACUACAAUUGGCAUCAGAGCACUGCCUCUAAAAGCUAAGCAUCUAACAAGUGCUUGAGGAAAAGAUUCAGGAAGGAAGUAAUGUCUAAACCUGCAAAAUUCAUCUCAGAAGGAGGAUCAUCAACUAGACCACCUCUUUUUGAAGGAAAUGACUACUACUACUGGAAAGACAAGAUGAAAUUGUUU